rnacentral:rRNA from 1 species
CAACUCGACUCCAUGAAGCUGGAUUCGCUAGUAAUCGCGCAUCAGCCAUGGCGCGGUGAAUACGUUCCCGGGCCUUGUACACACCGCCCGUCAAGCCAUGGGAGUCGGGAGUGCCUGAAGUUCGUGACCGUCACAGGAGCGACCUAAGGCAAGACCGACGACUGGGGCUAAGUCGUAACAAGGUACC